UUAAUAAAGUGGGUGAGGCGCUGAAAGGCCCAAGGACCAAAGGAAAUCAACAGAAGCAGGGCCACAAGGGGUCCUAAAAUCGAAGGCAACAGGGGCCGCGUGAACCUUUUCUUGAGGCAUGGAACACUGAUCGAUCCAGACUGGAUCAUUUGACUUCCAAGAUAUUUUAUCAGCCUGGAGUGCAGGACAAACAGCGGUCUCUAUGAAAAAAGGUCAGGAGCUUUGAGCUUUGGAGUGUAUCCUGUGUUUGACCUCUCCCUUUUAAAUGUGUGGCGGUAGCCUUAAGGGGCCAGGUUGAGGGCCAGUGUCUAGAGGAGAGCACUGUUGUAUCCGCCCCCGUAUCUAAAAGGCCCUGAAAUUGUUUGCCAUCGAGCCAAAGAGACAUCAUGGGUCUUUCAUCAGUUAAUUUUUGAACCCAAUAAACAUCUGAAGAGCCA